rnacentral:rRNA from 1 species
UUUUUGGAGAGUUUGAUCUUGGCUCAGGACGAACGCUGGCGGCGUGCCUAAUACAUGCAAGUCGAGCGCUGGAAGCUAAUUUCAUCCCUUCGGGAUGAAAUUAGUGGAAAGAGCGGCGGACGGGUGAGUAACACGUGGGCAACCUACCUAUAAGACUGGGAUAACUCGCGGAAACGUGAGCUAAUACCGGAUAAUACUUUUUAUUGCAUAAUAAGAGG